AAACUAAGACUAGUAAACAGUAAAACAAAAACGUUUACUUGCGUCCUUUACUGUCCAAAAAAAAACAACAAAAUAAAUGCGAUCAAGAAUCAAGAGUUUGAAAAUAAACAACAAAAAAACAGAGCAAACACGACGUGUCCAGAAAUCAACCAGCUGUGUCGACUUCCCACAGAGACAAGAGGAGAGAGCUGUCAUUUUGGCUCGGCGGCCUUUCUGCGCAGGCGCAGGAAAA